UAGGAUAUCUGUGGGUUUUCCUGCUGAGCCCUUUCUUAUUUUUAUGAGGAAAACCCCUAAAGUUCCUUCAAAAGCCACCCUGACCCUCUUCUUCAACAGCCCUGCUUUCCAAGCAGAUCUGAAAUCAGGAUCAGGUGACUGGGGCUUGAGUAGGACCUUACUGAGAACUUUCCAGAUGCCAGAGACAGAAGGCAUUGUUCAGCAUAAGGAAAGGACUGUAUGAAUGGUCUUGUGCUAUAUGAUCAAUGACAUACUGGAUAUAGAUGGAAGGCCCCAUGAGGGUAUAAUGGAGCUGAAAAAUUCUCAGCACCUAGUGACACAGUUGCCAUCAGAACGUCAAGGCCAAUGUCACUCAGGACUUAGGUCACGCUAGUGUGAGCACUUCUACAUCACUGUAUACACUAUAUAUACACACCCAUAUAAAAACAGGGCAACACAAUUCUGCGUAUUGCACAAUACUUGAUAAUGACCAUAAAGUACUAACUGGGUCACUUUUUCUCAUUACAUGGCCAAAUACCAGACAGAAUGAAGGAAGGGGGAUUUAUUUGGGCCUACAAGUUCAGGGGCUAGGAUCCACCACUGAAGGAAAGGCAUGGGAACGUACGGGUGGUCUGUCCAUAUCUUGGUGGAUCUGGAAGCAGAAAGGUCUCCACUAAAAGCAGGCCUCAAAGGCCCACUCCAGGAGCCUACGUCCAGGCCCACCAGUCUCCAGAAAUGGCACCACCAGCUAGGGACCAGGAUCCUGGGGAGGACAUUUCAGACUCAAAGUGUAACAACUGUGUUGCUGGCUUAUGCAUUUCCGGUACUGUGCUUUUAUGGUGAUUUCAGAGUGUGUUUGUGUGUGUCAAAGUUUGUUUUGAGGAAUACACCAGUAAGGCCAGCAACAGCCUCAACCAUCUCAUGGUCGCCAUUUUUCUCCAGUGCAUCCAGCAAUCCACCAAUACUAAGUCCGUGCAAGUAUGAGGUUCUUUCCAUAACAAGUUUGCUUAGUGACACAGCUCAGAGCUUACCCCACUGUUAAGUGAUACACACCAUCAUAGGCAUUGAGCAAAGCUGGAUAGAAGAACUCACACAAUAAUAUCCUCUCUCCUCCUCUGCCUCUUUCCCCCAUUCCUGCUUACUUCCCUCAGGGUUAGCUUCUGCCGGUUUAUGGCAAAGAUGUCUAUACUUAGCACAGCCAAGCCCUCCAGACCAAAGAAAACAUCCUUCAAAGGAGAAAGUAGGGGCUGGAGAAUUGCCACAGUGCAUAGUGAACUUGAAAGUCAGAAUACCUGAGACCCACAGUGGACCGAGACAGUUGACUCUAUAGUUUGUGCUAUGAUUUGUGAGUGCUCUGGGCUGGUGAGGUUUUACUGUCAAUACAAACUAAAGUCAGAAGGAGAGAGCAAUCAUGAAAAAGAAUUGCCUACAUCAGAUUGGGUUAUGGGCAUGUCUUUGGGGGACUGUCCUGGUUGGUGAUUGACACAGGAGGGCCUGGCACACUGCCAGAUGACUCUGCUGUGAAGGAAAGCCAGGUGAGCCUGAGUCAGAAAGCAAUCCAGUAGGCAGCGUUCCACCAUAGUUUCUGCAUCCACUUCCCUCAAUGAUGUCAGCUGAAAUAAACCCUUUCCUUCCCUAAGUUGCUUUGGAUCUUGUAUUUUUAUCACAGCAACAGAAAGGAAAUGCCCCAUCACCACUACCAACACAUCACACACACAUACUAAAUGAUGAUGAUGAUGAUGAUGAUGAUGAUGAUGACGAUGACGACGACGACGUUAUAUGUGGUGGUGUAUGCCUUCAAUACAAGCACUUGGGAGGCAGAAGCAUAUGGAUCUAGGUCAGCCUGAUCUACAAAGUGAGUUCUCUAGGUCAGCCAGAGAUACAUACUGAGAUCCUGUCUCAAAAUAAUUUUUUUAAACUCAAGCAUAGUGUGGUAGCACACGCAUCCUACCACUCAGAAGACUGUGGCAGGAAGGUCAAGAGUCAGAGUCUAGAAGGUCAGGGAGUUUUCUGUGAGACUGUGUCUCCUAGUACUGCCAGAAGCUACACCCAUAGUCUCACCAAUAUGACUGCCUGAAUAUGAGCUGAACCCAGACACCAAAAGACAUGCCAAAGUUGAAGGGCAAAAGACCACAAAGCCUCAACCCCUUCACAAAGAACUACAGACGAGUAAGAAUGCUGGGGGAAGGGGUGUGGUCUUCCCCAGUGAAGAACAUACCAAUGGUCAACCAAUGCCAAGUGCUCAGCCCUGAAAACAUACAUACAAGCAACAGUAUACAGUCA
rnacentral:lncRNA from 1 species